CAGUCGCCGCGGUAAUACGUAGGUGGCGAGCGUUGUCCGGAAUUAUUGGGCGUAAAGGGAGCGCAGGCGGACAUAUAAGUCCAUCUUAAAAGUGCGGGGCUCAACCCCGUGAGGGGAUGGAAACUGUAUGCCUUGAGUGCAGGAGAGGAAAGCGGAAUUCCCAGUGUAGCGGUGAAAUGCGUAGAUAUUGGGAGGAACACCAGUGGCGAAGGCGGCUUUCUGGACUGUAACUGAUGCUGAGGCGCGAAAGCCAGGGGAGCGAACGGGAUUAGAUACCCCCGUAGUCCCUGUCUCUUAUACA
rnacentral:rRNA from 1 species